UACGGGGGGAGCAAGCGUUGUUCGGAUUUACUGGGCGUAAAGGGCGCUUAGGCGGCCACCGCAAGUCGAUUGUGAAAUCUCCGGGCUUAACCCGGAAAGGUCAACCGAUACUGCGGGGCUAGAGUGCAGAAGGGGCAACUGGAAUUCUCGGUGUAGCGGUGAAAUGCGUAGAUAUCGAGAGGAACACCUGCGGCGAAGGCGGGUUGCUGGGCUGACACUGACGCUGAGGCGCGAAAGCUAGGGGAGCAAACGGG
rnacentral:rRNA from 1 species